rnacentral:lncRNA from 1 species
GUUUUUCAACCAAAUAAAAGCAUCUGCAUUCUUACUUUAGACUGCUAACUAAGAUCCCAUAUAGAUGAUGAUCAUCGUGAGAGAAGUGAUUUUUUUCUCAUCGCUUUUGUGUAUCUCUGAAGUUCCUACUCUGAGCCUGAGAGCUGGGAGGUGGCCACUGUGAGAUGGUGAUAUUUAGACAAGACUGGAAUGGUCAAAAGAGGCAGCCAGGUGAAGACCUGUGGAAAGAAUCUUCCAUUUCAGAAAGAAAAGCAAGUGCAAAUUCCCCAGACAAGCUUGGCCUUUUCAAGUGAAAGAAGAUUGGCAGAGCUAGAUCAUGAAGAAGCUGUUUCUAGAAAUUGGGAAACACUUCCCAUGAAAUCAGAAAGUUAUCUCAGCAUCAUCAGAUGGGAAAAUGUGGAUGGAACCUAUAGAAGAUGA